CAUGGGGGUGAGGGGAGGCCGCCCGCCGCAGGGACACGGAGGGGAGGUGGCGAGGGUGUGGGAGGCAACAGCUCGCGCCAGGAGGAGAUGAAGCGAGUGGGUUCGCGCUGAAGGAGCAGGAGGCAGAAGGAGUGUCUCCCUGUGGCACCCACGGCUGGGAAUGCGGGAGGGUCGGGCUGGCGUGGGGCUGCGCAGGCACGGUUGACACAGUCGCUCUGGCCCUCCCCCUCAGAAAAUCGCGCUGCAACUCAAAGCCACGCUGGAGAACAUCACCAACCUCCGGCCCGUGGGCGAGGACUUCCGGUGGUACCUGAAGGUGCGGCCGGGGCGGGGCCCGGGGAGAGAAGGCGAGUCCUGAUCUCAGUGCUGAACCGGAGCCUUCUCUCCGGCAGUAUGAGAAAAUAUUUAACCAGGCACAUUAAGUGUUCAGGGUUUUCCUAGUUAGAAUUUUACGUUUGCUUUUUAUUAAAGUAUAUUGGUUUAUUUCUAA
rnacentral:sRNA from 1 species